CAGUAGCCGCGGGAAUACGAAGGGGGCUAGCGUUGUUCGGAUUUACUGGGCGUAAAGCGCACGUAGGCGGAUAUUUAAGUCAGGGGUGAAAUCCUGGAGCUCAACUCCAGAACUGCCUUUGAUACUGGGUAUCUAGAGUCCGGAAGAGGUGAGUGGAACUCCUAGUGUAGAGGUGGAAUUCGUAGAUAUUAGGAAGAACACCAGUGGCGAAGGCGGCUCACUGGUCCGGUACUGACGCUGAGGUGCGAAAGCGUGGGGAGCAAACAGGAUUAGAGACCCCGGUAGUCCCUGUCUCUUAUAC
rnacentral:rRNA from 1 species